rnacentral:rRNA from 1 species
AUUAAGCCAUGCAUGUCUAAGUACUUGCUUUAACAAGGCGAAACCGCGAAUGGCUCAUUAAAUCAGUUAUGGUUCACUAGAUCGUAUAUCCUACACGGAUAACUGAGGUAAUUCUUCAGCUAAUACGUGCUACAAGCUCGUUCCCUUGUGGAGCGAGCGCAGUUAUUAGAACAAAACCAAUCCGGCCCUUGGGUCGGUUAAAAUGGUGACUCUGAAUAACCGAAGCGGAGCGUAUGGUCUCGUACCGACGCCAGAUCUUUCAAGUGACUGCUCUAUCAGCUUGUUGUUAGGUUAUGCUCCUAACAAGGCUUCAACGGGUAACGGGGUAUCAGGGUCCGAUACCGGAGAGGGAGCCUGAGAAACGGCUACCACAUCCAAGGAAGGCAGCAGGCGCGCAAAUUACCCACUCCCAGCACGGGGAGGUAGUGACGAAAAAUAACGAUGCGAGGGCAUAUUGCUUCUCGUAAUCGGAAUGGGUACACUUUAAAUCCUUUAACGAGGAUCUAUUGGAGGGCA